AUUGAACGCUGGCGGCGUGCUUAACACAUGCAAAGUCGAGCGAGAAAGUUCUCUUCGGAGAAUGAGUAGAGCGGCGCACGGGUGAGUAACGCGUGGGUAAUCUGCCCUGAAGAUCGGGAUAACAGUUGGAAACGACUGCUAAUACCGGAUAUCCUGCAUAUUUAACUUAUGUGGAAAGAUGGCCUCUGUUUCAAGCUAUUGCUUCAGGAUGAGCCCGCGUCUCAUUAGAUAGUUGGUGGGGUAAUGGCCUACCAAGUCAACGAUGAGUAACUGGUCUGAGAGGAUGAUCAGCCACACUGGGACUGAAACACGGCCCAGACUCCUACGGGAGCAGCAGUGAGGAAUAUGGACAAUGGGGAACCUGAUCCAGCCAUGCCGCGUGCGCGA
rnacentral:rRNA from 1 species